CGGGAUGUAGCUCAGUUGGUAGAGUACACGUCUGGGGGACGUGAAGUCGCUGGUUCAAGUCCAGUCAUCCCGACAA
rnacentral:tRNA from 1 species